GACGAACGCUGGCGGCGUGCUUAACACAUGCAAGUCGAACGGUAAGGCCCUUCGGGGUACACGAGUGGCGAACGGGUGAGUAACGCGUGAGUAACCUGCCCUUCACUCUGGGAUAACAGUUGGAAACGGCUGCUAAUACCGGAUAUUCAGCUCCUGUCGCAUGGUGGGGGUUGGAAAGUUUUGGUGGUGGAGGAUGGGCUCGCGUCCUAUCAGCUUGUUGGUGGGGUGAUGGCCUACCAAGGCGUCGACGGGUAGCCGGCCUGAGAGGGCGACCGGCCACAUUGGGACUGAGAUACGGCCCAGACUCCUACGGGAGGCAGCAGUGGGGAAUAUUGCACAAUGGGCGGAAGCCUGAUGCAGCAACGCCGCGUGCGGGAUGACGGCCUUCGGGUUGUAAACCGCUUUCAGCAGGGACGAAGCGCAAGUGACGGUACCUGCAGAAGAAGCACCGGCUAACCACGUG
rnacentral:rRNA from 1 species